rnacentral:rRNA from 1 species
CCUACGGGCGGCAGCAGUGGGGAAUAUUGGACAAUGGGCGAAAGCCUGAUCCAGCCAUGCCGCGUGUGUGAAGAAGGCCUUCGGGUUGUAAAGCACUUUCAGUGGGGAAGAAAGCCUUGGGGCUAAUACCCUCGAGGAAGGACAUCACCCACAGAAGCAGCACCGGCUAACUCCGUGCCAGCAGCCGCGGUAAUACGGAGGGUGCGAGCGUUAAUCGGAAUUACUGGGCGUAAAGCGCGCGUAGGCGGUCUGAUAAGCCGGUUGUGAAAGCCCCGGGCUCAACCUGGGAACGGCAUCCGGAACUGUCAGGCUAGAGUGCAGGAGAGGAAGGUAGAAUUCCCGGGGUAGCGGUGAAAUGCGUAGAGAUCGGGAGGAAUACCAGUGGCGAAGGCGGCCUUCUGGACUGACACUGACGCUGAGGUGCGAAAGCGUGGGUAGCAAACAGGAUUAGAUACCGUGUAGUC